rnacentral:rRNA from 1 species
UACGGAGGGGGCUAGCGUUGUUCGGAAUUACUGGGCGUAAAGCGCACGUAGGCGGCUUUGUAAGUUAGAGGUGAAAGCCCGGGGCUCAACUCCGGAAUUGCCUUUAAGACUGCAUCGCUAGAAUUGUGGAGAGGUAAGUGGAAUUCCGAGUGUAGAGGUGAAAUUCGUAGAUAUUCGGAAGAACACCAGUGGCGAAGGCGACUUACUGGACACAUAUUGACGCUGAGGCGCGAAAGCGUGGGGAGCAAAC